GAUGAAGAACGCAGCGAAAUGCGAUAAGUAAUGCGAAUUGCAGAAUCCGUGAGUCAUCGAAUCUUUGAACGCAGAUUGCGCGCCUUGGUUAUUCCGAAGGGCAUGCCUGUUCGAGCGUCAUUAUCACCCCUCAAGCCCCUGGCUUGGUGUUGGACUUUAGUUGUGGCUUUGCCUAUCAACUGGUCUCAAAGAUAGUGACGGCGCCCCAGAGGGAACCCGGGUACGAGGAGCUUUUUACUAAGCAUGUAUCCGGGACGACUCUGAUGGGCGACGGUCUUGUUAUACUUUUACCUAAGUGUUGACCUCGGAUCAGGUAGGAAUACCCGCUGAACUUAAGCAUAUCAAUAAGCGGAGGA
rnacentral:misc_RNA from 1 species